rnacentral:misc_RNA from 1 species
GGGAAUUUCUUCAAUUUGAAGUAUAAACUGUUCAUUAGAAUACGAAUAAUGUUCAUGACCCUAGAUACGUUGCCUCCAGAUUUAAAGAGACAGUAUGGUCAUAGUCAAAGGCUGUCUAUUCAUUUUCUUGUUUUGAGAGUUGCUCAAAGGAUGCUAUUGUUUCAAUUUAUGAAACCCUUUUUUUCUGCUUCAAUGCAUUAAAG